rnacentral:rRNA from 1 species
GAUGAACGCUGGCGGCGUGCCUAAUACAUGCAAGUCGAGCGAACAGACGAGGAGCUUGCUCCUCUGACGUUAGCGGCGGACGGGUGAGUAACAUGUGGAUAACCUACCUAUAAGACGGGGAUAACUUCGUGAAUCCGGAACUAAUACCGGAUAAUAUAUUGAACCGCAUGGUUCAAUAGUGAAAUACGGUUUUGCUGGCACUUAUCGCUGGAUCCAAGCGGCAUUAGCUGGUUGGUAAGGUAACCGCCUACCAAGGCAACGAUGCGUAGCCGAACUGAGAGGGUGAUCAUCCACACUGGAACUGAACCACGGACCAGAAGCCUACGGUAGGCAGCAGUAGGAAAUAUUACGAAAAGGGGGAAAGACUGCCGGAGUAACAGCACGUGAGUGAUGAAGGUCUUCGGAUAGUAAAACCUUGUUAUUGGUGAAGAACAAAUGUGGAAGAAACUCUGCCCGUCUUGACGGUAACUAAUCAGAAAGCAACGGCUAACUACGUG